rnacentral:rRNA from 1 species
AUUGAACGCUGGCGGCAGGCCUAACACAUGCAAGUCGAACGAGAGGCGGACGGGUGAGUAAUGUAUGGGAAACUGCCCGAUGGAGGGGGUUAAAAACUGGAAACGGUAGCUAAUACCGCAUACCAUCGGAUGUGCCCAGAUGGGAUUCGCUAGUAGGUGGGGUCACGGCUAACCUAGGCAACGAUCCCUAUCUGGUCUGAGAGGAGGACCAGCCACACUGGAUCUUAGAGCCGUUCCAGACUCCUCCGUGAGGCAGCAGUGGGGAAUAUUGCCCAAUGGGCGCAAGCCUGGUGCAGCGUUGCCGCGUGUAUGAAGAAGGCCUUCGGGUUGUAAAGUACUGUCAGCGAGGAGGCGUUACUCGCAGAAGAAGCACCGGCUAACUCCGUGCCAGCAGCCGCGGUAAUAC